rnacentral:rRNA from 1 species
AAUAUUGGACAAUGGGUGCAACACUGAUCCAGCCAUGCCGCGUGUGUGAAGAAGGUCUUCGGAUUGUAAAGCACUUUAAGUUGGGAGGAAGGGCUUUAGGCUAAUACCCUGAAGUUUUGACGUUACCAACAGAAUAAGCACCGGCUAACUCUGUGCCACCAGCCGCGGUAAUACAGCGUGUGCACGCGUUGAUCGGAAUUACUGGGCGUAAAGCGCGCGUAGGUGGUUCAGUAAUAUGGGUGUGAAAUCCCCGGGCUUAACCUGGGAACUGCUUUCAUAACUGCUGAGCUAGAGUACGGUAGAGGGUAGUGGAAUUUCCUGGGUAGCGGUGAAAUGCGUAGAUAUAGGAAGGAACACCAGUGGCGAAGGCGACUACCUGGACUGAUACUGACACUGAGGUGCGAAAGCGUGGGGAGCAAAC